GGUGCAAGCGUUAAUCGGAAUUACUGGGCGUAAAGCGCACGCAGGCGGUUGGAUAAGUUAGAUGUGAAAGCCCCGGGCUCAACCUGGGAAUUGCAUUUAAAACUGUCCAGCUAGAGUCUUGUAGAGGGGGGUAGAAUUCCAGGUGUAGCGGUGAAAUGCGUAGAGAUCUGGAGGAAUACCGGUGGCGAAGGCGGCCCCCUGGACAAAGACUGACGCUCAGGUGCGAAAGCGUGGGGAGCAAACAGGAUUAGAUACCCUGGUAGUCCACGCCGUAAACGAUGUCGAUUUGGAGGCUGUGUCCUUGAGACGUGGCUUCCGGAGCUAACGCGUUAAAUCGACCGCCUGGGGAGUACGGCCGCAAGGUUA
rnacentral:rRNA from 1 species